rnacentral:rRNA from 1 species
GACCAGACUCCUACGGGAGGCAGCAGUGGGGAAUAUUGCACAAUGGGGGGAACCCUGAUGCAGCGACGCCGCGUGGGUGAAGGAGCACCUCGGUGCGUAAAGCCCUGUCAGCAGGGAAGAAAAUGACGGUACCUGAAGAAGAAGCCCCGGCUAACUACGUGCCAGCAGCCGCGGUAAUACGUAGGGGGCAAGCGUUAUCCGGAUUUACUGGGUGUAAAGGGGGCGCAGACGGCGAUGCAAGCCAGGAGUGAAAGCCCGGGGCCCAACCCCGGGACUGCUCUUGGAACUGCGUGGCUGGAGUGCAGGAGGGGCAGGCGGAAUUCCUGGUGUAGCGGUGAAAUGCGUAGAUAUCUGGAGGAACAUCAGUGGCGAAGGAGACUAUCUGGCACAUAACUGACGCUGAGGAGCGAAAGCGUGGGGAGCAAACAGGAUUAGAUACCCCGGUAGAU